AAGCAGGUGGUAGCGACUUGGCUUCCGGGCAGCGGGUAAAGGUGAGUCUGGGGCAUGGGUUCAGUGGGCAAGUCUAGGGCAGCAGAGUUGACUACGCCUCGGCGUAUAGAAUGGCCCUGGCCUGGGACAGCUAAGGACGACAAGAGGAGGCCGAAGCCUAAAACGCUUUCACCUGCUUCUUCCCCUGCCUAGAUCCCCCCAAUAGUAAUACUAAAGAGCGCCAUAGUUUACAAAGAUUUCUCCCUCUCACAACACCUUUUAAUCACUGAUCCGUAUUCCCUUAGCACUCAAAUCUCUUCUGUUUGGAUUGCCCUCAUUAACAAUCUGACCAGCUCGUACAAUGCAUCCCUCUUUGCAAUUUGCCACGUAUGCUUACGUGUUCCCCUUUUUUCUACUGGCAAGGAAAGAAUGUAAGCUUUUAUUCACAGGAGAUGUCUGAGACUUUUGCCGGUAAAAUGAUCUGGCUACAAGGUCUAAGAGGGAAAAGCAGUUUGCUCGAGGAAAGGUAUUCGUGCAUUAAGGACAGUCCUGUGAGUGAGAUAUUGGUGGACGGCUUCAAGCUCUAGCCUGUGGCCUACAGCUGGCCUAAAUAAGACUGGGAAGGAACUGUGAAGACGGUUUCAAAUUCCUAAAGCCCUGAAAUUCUCCCCCUAAGUUUAGGAAGAGCUUUUGUUCUUGGUGUGUAACACUGAUAAAUGAAUUGGUACCUAGUGAUUAAUCUGCACUUUUAUUAAGAUAUGACCUACUUUACCUUUUUUGAGACAGGAUCUUGCUCUGUCGCCCAAUAGCCCAGGCUGGAGUGCAGUGGCAGAGUUGCAGCUGGCUGCAGCCUCCACCUCCCUGGCUCAAGUGAUCUUCCAGCCUCAGCCUCCCCAGUAGCUGAGACUAUACAGGUGCAGGCCACCACUCUUAAUUUUUUUUGUUUGUUUUUAAGAGACAGGUCUCCCUACGUAGCCCAAGCUGUUUUCGAAGUCCUAGGUUCCUCCCACCUUGGACUCCCAAAGUGCUGGGAUUACAGGCUUGACCCACUGCGCCCAGCCUGCAUCUUUACAUUCGAAAUAAAAUUCAGUCAAGUCAAAGCCGGUCUUGGAGGAAAAUGUGGCUUUGAUGACAGCAGUAGGGAUUUUCCUUCAGUGCCUACUUACCAGAGGAUAAUAAUAACAGCAAGUUUCUUAAACAUAAAAACAUCAGAAAUGAAAAAGAACUUUCCAUAACACUAUAAAUAUUGCAGUAUUUCAAGAUACUGAACCAGAGCCCUAAGGAAAGGCUGGAGACCCAGAAUUUUAUAAUGGCUUUGGGACAUGAAUUUUAUUUUAACCAGAGGACAAAAUUAAUCUGCAAAAGCUG
rnacentral:lncRNA from 1 species